CUACGGGGGGCAGCAGUGGGGAAUCUUAGACAAUGGGGGCAACCCUGAUCUAGCCAUGCCGCGUGAGUGAUGAAGGCCUUAGGGUCGUAAAGCUCUUUCGCCUGUGAUGAUAAUGACAGUAGCAGGUAAAGAAACCCCGGCUAACUCCGUGCCAGCAGCCGCGGUAAUACGGAGGGGGUAAGCGUUGUUCGGAAUUACUGGGCGUAAAGCGCGCGUAGGCGGAUUAGAAAGUUGGGGGUGAAAUCCCGGGGCUCAACCUCGGAACUGCCUCCAAAACUGCUAGUCUAGAGUUCGAGAGAGGUGAGUGGAAUUCCGGGUGUAGAGGUGAAAUUCGUAGAUAUUCGGAGGAACACCAGUGGCGAAGGCGGCUCACUGGCUCGAUACUGACGCUGAGGUGCGAAAGUGUGGGGAGCAAACAGGAUUAGAUACCCCAGUAGUC
rnacentral:rRNA from 1 species